GUGAGUAACACGUGGGUGAUCUGCCCUGCACUCUGGGAUAAGCCUGGGAAACUGGGUCUAAUACCGGAUAGGACCAUGCUUUAGUGUGUGUGGUGGAAAGUUUUUCGGUUGUAGGAUGAGCCCGCGGCCUAUCAGCUUGUUGGUGGGGUAAUGGCCUACCAAGGCGGCGACGGGUAGCCGGACUGAGAGGCUGGUCGGCCACAUUGGGACUGAGAUACGGCCCAG
rnacentral:rRNA from 1 species